rnacentral:rRNA from 1 species
AUUGAACGCUGGCGGCAGGCCUAACACAUGCAAGUCGAACGAGUGGCGGACGGGUGAGUAAUGUCUGGGAAACUGCCUGAUGGAGGGGGAUAACUACUGGAAACGGUAGCUAAUACCGCAUACCAUCGGAUGUGCCCAGAUGGGAUUAGCUAGUAGGUGGGGGAAAGGCUCACCUAGGCGACGAUCCCUAGCUGGUCUGAGAGGAUGACCAGCCACACGGGAACUGAGACACGGUCCAGACUCCUACGUGAGGCAGCAGUGUGGAAUAUUGCACAAUGGGCGGAAGCCUGAUGCAGCUAUGGGGGGUGUAUGAAGAAGGCCUUCGGUUUGUAAAGUACUUUCAGCGGGGAGGCGUUACCCGCAGAAGAAGCACCGGCUAACUCCGUGCCAGCAGCCGCGGUAGUAC